GCGCCCGUAGCUCAAUGGAUAGAGUACUGCCCUCCGAAGGCAGUGGUUGCUGGUUCAAUCCCGGCCGGGCGCACCA
rnacentral:tRNA from 1 species